GGAGGGUGCAAGCGUUAAUCGGAAUUACUGGGCGUAAAGCGCACGCAGGCGGUUGGAUAAGUUAGAUGUGAAAGCCCCGGGCUCAACCUGGGAAUUGCAUUUAAAACUGUCCAGCUAGAGUCUUGUAGAGGGGGGUAGAAUCCCAGGUGUAGCGGUGAAAUGCGUAGAGAUCUGGAGGAAUACCGGUGGCGAAGGCGGCCCCCUGGACAAAGACUGACGCUCAGGUGCGAAAGCGUGGGGAGCAAACAGGAUUAGAUACCCUGGUAGUCCACGCCGUAAACGAUGUCGAUUUGGAGGCUGUGUCCUUGAGACGUGGCUUCCGGAGCUAACGCGUUAAAUCGACCGCCUGGGGAGUACGGCCGCAUGUUA
rnacentral:rRNA from 1 species